AUUUUCUCCCUCUUCCCUUUAUUUUUCCUCUUUCACUUCUAGUCUUUGCUGCUGGGCCUGGAGCCUGCCAGUGUGACCCCUGGUGGCUUUGCAGGCAGGAAGGAGAGGACACUGACUCUCAUAUCAAGCCAUGACCCCGGUGCAAGAGGCUAUCCUAAAUUAGGCAGUCGCAGCUGCAGAGAAUCACCCCUGAGAAGUGGCAUCACGGAGUGCCAGCUCCUCACCCCAAAAACGUCAUUCUGUGGUCACGUGCUGCUAGGGCUGAUUCUGACCUGGCUCCAACAGCUACGCCCCCGCUCGUGUGAAAGCAGCGCAGCCUGGCACGGCAGAGCAGCUCCUCUGAAGCCCAACGCACACGGAGUUGGUGGCCAUCUCCUCAGCUCAUGAAACAGCCAGAUCACUACAGAACUGUUACCACAAGGCCAGGACACGUUGACACGAGGCGAGGAUUACCCUUCAUC
rnacentral:lncRNA from 1 species